CAUCAAGGAUGAUACGAUGACGAGUCUGUGACCAUUCCAGAAAGAGAGUUCCAACAUUGCUUUGAAGGGUGG
rnacentral:snoRNA from 1 species